UGAAAUUAAUUCAUUUAAAAAUGAAUUUAGAAUAGUUCAACAUCUUAACGUUCAGACCGUUAUUGGCGCUUAUUAGUUUAAAGUAAUGUAUUUAACAUAAGCGGUCUUCCAAUCUUAUUAUUGUUUACGCGCGUCUCGGGAGGAUUCCUCCUUAGAGUCGGGUUGCUUGAGAGUGCAGCUCUAAGUGGGUGGUAAAUUCCACCUAAGGCUAAAUACGACCACGAGACCGAUAGCGAAUAAGUACCGUGAGGGAAAGUUGAAAAGAAUUUUGAAGAGAGAGUUCCUUUGAAGAGAAGACUACCAUUCAAAAAUAAUAAUUAUAAGAUGUAACAACCUAACUUUAUGCUCGGACGUAGCUCGUCGGAAACUUGCGGUCCAGGGCUUAAAGAGGUUCGAACGGCAAGGGGAAGAUGCAACGGUUGCGGUGGGCUGUAAAUAACGAAACGGUAGCGGAUACACUUAAAAUAAUAUAUUUAAUAAGAUGACGAUCACGCAUAACAAUCGUACAGACAAGCUAGUUUUAUACAUAUAUAUAUUUACAAGAAAAAGAAAUAAAUCGCGGAAGUAAGCCCGGUCGCAGUUUCGGGCGGCGCACGGACGAUUACAAUUCUGCGUUCCUUCGUGUCGCGGAUUCGGCCGGCCAGAGCGAUAUCGUUGUCGCGGAUCGCGUAUAUACAAAUGUGUGUGUGUGUGUGUGUGUGUGUGU
rnacentral:ncRNA from 1 species